rnacentral:lncRNA from 1 species
GGACUGUCAACAAAAAGCCGAUUCUGUGCCCUCCUCGUAACCCUUCUCAGCCGAAGCUGGGUUCUUCCACUGGGCCUGCGGGUGGCCCGUUGGCUCAGGAGCUGUUCCCUGACCAGCACCCUAUGAACCGUGCCAGAGCCACCAUGCCGAGACAUGUCACUGCCCUCGACCUUGUCCCCAACCCACCUCAACCAGGCACCAGCCCUGUCCUGGGUCAGGGCUGAUCGAGGUGGACACGGGCCCUGUCCUGGAGCUGCUCACAUCUGGCCAAGGUGGAGAACAGCAGGGACACUGUCCUCUGAGAGGGAUGUUGAGAGGGCUCUUUGGGGAGGUGGCCUUUCAUCAAGGUCUCAAUGACGAGGGGCCGGCCUGGUGACUCAGCGGUUAAGUGCACACAUUCUGCUUUGGCAGCCUGGGGUUUGCUGGUUCGGAUCCUGGGUGCGGACAUGGCACCGCUUGGCAAGCCAUGCUGUGAAACUGGUGCCCUGCUCCGGGAGCUGCUGCACCCCGGCAGCCGUACGCCCAACUGCAUCACAGCCCAGAGCUGCUGGAGUGAGAUCCGGGUCCUCACGGGAGGUGGCUUCUAAACCUGCCAAUGCUCCUACAGCGCUACGCAAAGGUGUGGAGCAUCCGGGCUGCGAUGGAGCCAGGCCACCAGCCACCUGCCCUCUUGUCUGGGUGUGUCCCUGUUCCCCGUCCCCCUGCAGCAGGGCGGCCAGCCCCCGGGCUCCAUGCGGAAGUGCAGGAACAGCCCCCUCCUCAGGCCGGCACAGGGCACAGGGGACGUCCUGUCCCAGGCAGGGGGCAAUGCCCUCCAACCAGCAGGUUCUGAGCACGUGGUGACCAUGCAGAGCUCCGUGCUGGUUGCUUGGUGAGAAGGAGGCGUCCAGUCCCUCAAUGGUAGAAAUGGCGUCUCCGAUGGGGCUGAGCCAGAGAAAGGACAUGUCCUGCCCUCUAGCCCACCUCAACCAAAUCUGUGUUUUCAACACCAAGGAAACGUAUUUAAACUCUGCAAAUGGACGUCAGGGUAAUUAUCUCUGCUCAGGACUGGGACAAGGUCCAGAGCCUCCCUGAGAACAGGCCAGGGAUGUGUCAAGCGCUUCGGAGAAAGACAAUGAAGUGGAAGGGGGUGCUGGCACAGGGACAGCCCAAACAGACACUGACCCUGGCCAGGCAGAGAGGG